CCUACGGGUGGCUGCAGUCGAGAAUUUUUCUCAAUGGGCGAAAGCCUGAAGGAGCGACGCCGCGUGGGGGAUGAAUGGCUUCGGCCCGUAAACCCCUGUCAUUUGCGAACAAACCUUAUCAUUUAAAAGAUGAUGAGCUGAUUGUAGCAAAAGAGGAAGGGACGGCUAACUCUGUGCCAGCAGCCGCGGUAAUACAGAGGUCCCAAGCGUUGUUCGGAUUCACUGGGCGUAAAGGGUGCGUAGGUGGUUGGGUAAGUCUGAUGUGAAAUCUCCGA
rnacentral:rRNA from 1 species